CAUGGAGGGGACACGAGUGUUCCCACGUGCCACCCCCAGCACCCAGGAGGUGGUUGUCACCUUGAUGCCAUCAUGGGGACCACACAUUUUGGCACGGGGGGCCGUAGUGUGGUGGUGCGGCCAACAGAAUGGAGGUGGCCGUGGGGAAAGUCGUGCCAAGAAGAGGUGGUUGUCACCUUGAUCCUGUGGUCGUCAUGGGAACCACAGAUGUUGAUGUGGCCACGGGAAUGGUGGUGUAGUCAAGGGGGUGGUGGUGGCCAUGGGAGCACACUGGUGAACCAUGGGGGGGACACAAGUGUUCCCAUGUGCCACCCCCACCACCCCAGGAAGUAGUUCUCACCUUGAUGCCAUCAUGGGGACCAGACAUUUUGUUGUGGUCGUGUUAAAAGUUGGCCGAAGUGUGGUGGUGGUGGCCAAUGGAAUGGUGGCGGCCAUGGAGACCGUGAUGCCAAGAAGGGCUGGUUGUCACCCUGGCUCUGUGGUCACCAUGGGAACCACAAAUUUUGGUGUGGCCAUGGGAACAUUUGGCCAUAUAGUGGUGGUAUGGCCAAUGCAAUGACGGUGGCCAUUGGACCAGUUGGCCGUAGGGUGGUGGCAGUGGCCAAUGGAAUGGUGUUGGUCAUCAGGACAGUGAUGGCAUGGCAGGCGGUUGUCACCCUGACUCUGUAGUUGUGGUGACCACACAGUUUGGCAUGGCCAUGGGGAAUGUUGGCUGUAAGUUGGUGGUGUGGGCAGUGGAAUGAUGGUGGCCAUGGGGAAUGUUGGCCAUGGGGUGGUGGUGUGGAAAAUGGGAUGGUGGCUAUGGGGAAUAUUGGGCAUAAGAGGGUGGUAAUGGCCAGUGGAAUGAUGGUGGCCAUGGGGAAUGUUGGCCAUGGGGUGAUGGUGUGGAAAAUGGGAUGGUGGCCAUGGGAAUGUUGGGCAUAGGGUAAUGGCCAAUGGAAUGAUGGUGGCCAUGGGAAUGUUGGCUAUGGGGUGAUGGUGUGGGCAAUGGAAUGAUGGCGGCCAUGGGGAAUGUUGGCUAUGGGGUGAUGGUGUGGGCAAUGGAAUGAUGGUGGCCAUGGGAAUGUUGUCCAUGGGGUGGUGGUGUGGCAAAUGGGAUGGUGGCCAUGGGGAAUGUUGGACACAGGUUGGUGACCAUAAGGUGGUGGAAAUGGCCAAUGGAAUGAUGGUGGCCAUGGGGAAUGUUGGGCAUGGGGUGGUAUGUGGCCAAUGGGAUGGUGGCCAUGGGGAAUAUGGGCUAUAAGUAGGUGGUAAUGGCCAGUGGAAUGAUGGUGGCCAUGGGGAAUGUUGACCAUGGGGUGGUGAUGUGGAAAAUGGGAUGGUGGCCAUGGGAAUGUUGGGCAUAAGGUGGUGGAAAUGGCCAAUGGAAUGAUGGUGGCCGUGGGAAUGUUGGCCAUGGGGUGGUGGUGUGGACAGUAGGAUGGUGGCCAUGGGGAAUGUUGGCCAUAAAUUGGUGGUAAUGGCCGAUGGAAUGAUGGUGGCCAUGGGAAUGUUGGGCCAUGGGGUGGUGAUGUGGAAAAUGGGAUGGUGGUGGCCAUCAGGACAGUUGGCCGUGAGGUGGUGGCGGCCAGAGAUGGUCAUGGGGAAAGCAAUGGCCCCGCGGUGACGUGGGGAUGUUGG